AUGCUUGGGAGGGGAUGCCUCGUGAUGACAACGAUAGUAACACUUUGCACACAGAGAGCAGCAUUUUUUCAGCCGUAGAUCUCUCAGACCUUUGCAAUGGUGGAUGAACACCACUAGCCCCAUUUACAGAUGACAGCGAGCAGAGAAAUGUUUUGCCCAAGUGAGUCCAUGGCCUCACCAGAAGCAGAACCCAGAUGCGCCAUGCUGGGCUCUGGCCUCAUUUUUAUAAGCAUUUCUCUCUUAGCGGCAGCCAUCCUGGGAAAGAGAAGAAUGAGUUUCCUGGAGUCGCCCCAUACACCUUUUCAUCUUUAGCAAUGGGAUCACUUUUAUAAUGCCUGAAUCCCACUUAAUAACAAGUGCAUUGGACCUGUAGAUUAAAAUGUUCCCCAAAUAGGAUUAGGAGCUGUAACUGAUUAAUACAAACUACAGCUGAGCUUCUAGCCUAUCUUAGACAACUCACAGGGGCCUAAGGGAGAGUAAGAGACCGCCAUCCCCACUUCCCUGUGCUGCCUUCCUGCACAUCCUUGCAGGGGUGGGAAUGUAAGCAGAGGCUGCACCUAGGGUGACCAGACAGCAAGUGUGAAAAAUCAAGAUGGGGGUGGGGGGUAAUAUAUAAGAAAAAGACCCAAAUAUCAGGACUGUCCUAUAAAAUCGGGACAUCUGGUCAACCUAGCUGCACCUCUGAUCUCCCUUGGUUUUGUCCCUGCCAUCUUACAACCAGCACAGUGCAGCCAGCAUAGCUGGGGAUGUAGAAAUCAGCCACUGGUCUGGGUCAGUAGCAAAGGAUUACUCCCUGGGUGAAGCAAAGAAGGAAUCAUACCUAUCUAAGCCUCUCUGAGGCAUGAUUCCUUCCUUGGUCUGGUCCUGGCAGGCGGCACAACUACAUACCAGUGUUUAUACAGGGCUGGUUGUAUAAGCACCACCUCGCCCUAAGUACAUUGGUAUCCCUUCGGGCAUUGAAAUAAAGCCCAUGUCACUGCUGGGAUGAAAUACGGUAGCUGCUUAACAGCACCCAACGGGGGAGGAAACAAGGAAAUGGAGAGAGAGGGAAUGAAAAAGACUGCAUCCAGUUUAAAUUGCAGUGGAGCUCUAGGGAGCCAGACUGUGGUUACCUACAUGGGGAACUAGGCAGGACAUCCCUAUCUUUGUAGAAAGAUCUGUGGAAUCUUCGGGCGCCAAACACAAGUGUUGUUUGCAUUACAGUACUACAGCUGCAGAGACUUGCUUCUGUCUUUCUGGAAAGCAAAGCUUAAAUGGUGACCUUUGCUCUGCUGUAUUCCUGGGUAUUGUGGGAGGGCAAGGUGGUGCUGCUGUAGAGCUGAGCCCUUUCAGGACAGAGCCGUUCCCCAGGGUGGGCUAAAAAGAAUAGCUCUAUAACGCGUCCCCUGAACUCUCACUUCUGUGGAUUGCACCUUUGGCAGAUCGCACUCAGGAUAAAAGAGGAGAUGGCUUCCCUGGGGCCUCUUGGAAGAGAUGAGCUCAAACUACAAACUUCAGAACCAGAACGAAACUCCUAUAAAGAACUUUAUAGCAGACCAGUUCCUCUCCUAAUGCUAAGAGAAAUGGCGGUGAUGUCUGAGUUGGAUUCUCAAAGCCAUGGGCAAGAAGAGGUGAGAACAAGCCCCAUUCUCCUACAGCACGUUUGAAGUGGCCUGGAGGUUUCCGCUAGCCCUGAGAGUGCCACUGGGCAGAGCAGGUCUCUUCUGUGCUGUACAGCGUGUUAUAGACCCUGAGAAACCUGAUGGCACAGUUCUGAUACCUUAUCAACCUCACUUCUCCCUUCACCUCCAUGCCCAAUAAUAUGAAUCACUGGCUCUGUUUUCCUUUGUAUCUUAGAAAAUAAAAGUUUUAUAGGAGAUGUGAUCUCCUAAAU